UUUCCGUAGGUGAACCUGCGGAAGGAUCAUUAUCAAAACAGCGGACUUCGGUCUUUGCUGCACCCUUGUCUUUUGCGCACCGAAUUGUUUCCUCGGCGGGCUUGCCUGCCGGUUGGACAUUAUCAAAACCUUUUUGUAGUUGCAAUCAGCGUCAGAAAAAUCAUAAUUAUUACAACUUUCAACAACGGAUCUCUUGGUUCUG
rnacentral:misc_RNA from 1 species